rnacentral:rRNA from 1 species
UAGGGAAUCUUGCGCAAUGGGCGAAAGCCUGACGCAGCGACGCCGCGUGCGGGAUGAAGGUCUUCGGAUUGUAAACCGCUUUCAGCAGGGACGAAAUUGACGGUACCUGCAGAAGAAGCCCCGGCCAACUACGUGCCAGCAGCCGCGGUAAUACGUAGGGGGCAAGCGUUGUCCGGAUUUAUUGGGCGUAAAGAGCUCGUAGGCGGUUUGGUAAGUCACGUGUGAAAUCUCCACGCUCAACGUGGAGGCGCCACGUGAGACUGCUAUGACUAGAGUCCGGUAGAGGAGUGUGGAAUUCCCGGUGUAGCGGUGAAAUGCGCAGAGAUCGGGAGGAACACCCGUAGCGAAGGCGGCACUCUGGGCCGGUACUGACGCUGAGGAGCGAAAGCGUGGGGAGCAAACAGG